rnacentral:rRNA from 1 species
CGAAAGCCUGACGGAGCAACGCCGCGUGGGGGAAGAAGGUUCUUGGAUUGUAAACCCCUUUUCUCAGGGAAGAAGUUCUGACGGUACCUGAGGAAUCAGCCUCGGCUAACUCCGUGCCAGCAGCCGCGGUAAUACGGAGGAGGCAAGCGUUAUCCGGAAUUAUUGGGCGUAAAGCGUCCGCAGGUGGCGAUUCAAGUCUGCUGUCAAAGCACGGGGCUUAACUCCGUUAAGGCAGUGGAUACUGAAUAGCUAGAGUGCCGUAGGGGUAGAGGGAAUUCCCGGUGUAGCGGUGAAAUGCGUAGAGAUCGGGAAGAACAUCGGUGGCGAAAGCGCUCUACUGGGUCGCGCCUGACCCUCAGGGACGAAAGCUAAGGUAGCG